CCUCUGUCCAGUCAAAGAAUUCAGUCAUUUUGAACAUAAUUUAAUUUCACAGUCAGCCGUAGACGUGUUGUUUUUAUUCAUUUCAUGUUGUUUCACCUGCCAGGAAUUUUUUUAGCAUGUGAAAUUUUUUUUAACCAAAAACAAUGACUGACCUGGUUGGCGAUGUUGCUCUGCUGGAUAAACUGUUUAUGUGUGAAAAUAGCAGUAAGAUUACUCAACAGCUUCUGUAUUUUACUGUUAAAUUGGUGUAAAAUUCCCAAAAUAAGCCAAGAGCAGCGCCUGGUUAGCUUCACCCGUUCACCUGGAAUUUAAACUACAGAGAGCCAGAAGUUUCCCAGACUGCUUUGCCAGUCUGCAGUAUCACGGUGUAAUUUUCCCAGAGUUCUUUGCGGUAACAUGGUGUAAUUUUCCCAGAGUCCUUUGCGGUAACAUGGUGUAAUUUUCCCAGAGUUCUUUGCGGUAACAUGGUGUAAUUUUCCCAGAGUUCUUUGCGGUAACAUGGUGUAAUUUUCCCAGAGUUCUUUGCGGUAACAUGGUGUAAUCAGGUGCAGAACUGAAACAGAGUUUUUCUGAUCUGGAGGGAAUGAAGCAGAUUCUGAUUCUGAUGUUGGAGACCAAACAGCAGCGGGAACAUCUGCAGACUCCCAACCAGAACAAAAAGACUGUCCUUCAGUCGGUGUCCGGUCUCCAUGGCAACCACUGCUGGACCAAGCCAUGGUGGCUUCAGCGACUGACGUCAGGGUUUCGCUCAGCAUGUUGGAUGAAGCUUUAUGAACAAACCCAAACAAAAACAUUGUCACCUGGAUGGAUGUUAGCUGGAUUCAGGCGCGCUGCCAUGGAGACGGUGGGUGGUGUAAACAUUAAUACUCAUGGAUGAACAUCAGAGCUUAUUGCAAAUUUUCUGCAAAAAUGGUGAAAACCAUUGAGCUUAAGCGAAGCUAACUCCUGAGUUCCUGUAAAAUCAUCUGCGAUCGAUGGGAACGUAUUUAAGUUCUUUAAAGAAUAAAAAUAUUUGUGUCCUGUCUGUUUGAUGGUUAUUUUUUCCUUCUUUAUUUAGAAUUUUGACAGGAUUUAAUGAGGAAAAAGAUUGCAAAUUAUCUAGGUAAUUUUUCUAAAGCCAAAAAAUACCCCAAAAAUCGAGAUUUUGAUUGAAAAAAAAAGAAUCAGGAGGAUGAUCUCUGAAUGACGUCAGAUGUAAUUCAGGUGGAACGGAGGAAAAAUAAUGUCUCAAAAUUAAAAUAAAAUGAAUAAUAUUCAAGUCUCCUGAUUAAAAGAAACUAAGGGUGGCGUUAAAAGAGAUAAAAAUUCAAAGAGUACAGUUGAUGUUAGCAACAUUCAUUUUGUUUUCUUCCACCUUAUUGGAGUUAAGGACAUUUUACAGUUUUUCUCAGGCAGAUGGACCGACUCAGUGUGUCACCAGCAAUCAUCCAUGUUGGAUGGAUGUUGGAUGGAUGUUGGAUGGAUGUUGGAUGUUCAGAUAGGUUUUUUUUUACAGUGCAAGCGUGAAUUGAUCCAAAAACAAGCAGAAAUGUAGAGAGCAUGUAGGUCAGAGGCCCAAAGUGGCCCCUGAGGCCCCUGAGGUUCCGGCAUCUUGCGUGUUUUAGUCUCUCCCUGGUUUAACUCACCUGGAUCCAAUGACGGCUCGUUAGAGGCCUAAGAACAACGUUGACCUGCUGAAAAGGUUGUUGGUACUGGGGACAGAACUAGAACCUGCAGGACUCCGGGCCUCCAGGACCCACUUUGGGCCCCUGAUGCAGAAUAAAAACACUCUGCAGUUUAAUGCUCUCACUGUGAGGAGCUUUAAUCCUCAGGAUGUGACUCUGAAAUGCGUCUCAAGUGUUUUUUCGUCACCAAUCAGAGCGAAUCUUUACUGUCCUGAUCCGAGUCCUCCCUGCAAAACCAGAGCAGAACCAGAACCGGUUCUGCUCUGGUUCUGGUUCGGUUUUUACUGCAGCAGCAGCUCUUUAAUGGGAAUCCCCCGUUUUACUGGGAAACCAACAGCUGUGAAACACAUCUGGCCAUUAAUGCAGUUUUUACUGUAAGAUGUUUGGAACAGAAGACAAAGAGCUUACAGAGGAAAGCUGAUCCGUUCUGGACGGAUCAGGAAAAAAUAGAUUCUGUCAAAGAUUUUGUGUUUUAGUGUGAAACAGAAACAAUCUGGAAACGUCAGUUUCAUUUUAUAUUCUAUCUCUUCAUAACAUCAGACUCUUUCUAUAAACACAUCAGACUCCCACCAAUAGGCACUUUAAAGGUUUCACUGCCACAAAAUCACCAGAACCACCAAAUCACCAGAACCACCAGGGUUUGUACUCAGAACCCUGAGACUAAAGCAGCUCCAUCGACAUCAUUACAGGAAAAAUCUUCAAUAAAAAUCAUUCAGGAAUCAUUUCAGACAUUGCUGCUAGCAGGACUGAAUGUUAGGAACAUGAAAUGUUUCUGUCCCGUUUUAUUGUCUUUAAAUUGUCUUGAGUGGUUAAAGUCUCAUCUACCAACUAGCCACAGUUUUACUUGUUUAACACGUCUCCCCAUUCAACUAAACCAUGAAGAAGAAACUAAGAGCUUCACUGAUUCUCAGAGAGUCUGACAUGUCAGGGACAGAGACGGAGACGGAGACGUCCCAUCAGCCGGUCCGUCCCAGAAACCACCAAGAAGUAAAAUAAGUUAAUAAAUAAAACUUGUAAAAAGCCCAUGUGGAGUCAGUCUGACAGCUUUUAGCCAUGUAGCAGCUAAUGCUAAUGUCAGCAUCCACAGUAGCAGCUAAUGCUAAUGUCAGUAUCCACAGUGGCAGCUAAUGCUAACGUCAUCGCCCACAGUAGCAGCUAAUGAUAAUGUUAGCAUUCACAGUAGCAGCUAAUGCUAGUGUUAGCAUCCACAGUAGCAGCUAAUGCUAACAUCAGCGCCCACAGUAGCAGCUAAUGCUAAUGUCCGCAUCCACAGUAGUAGCUAAUGCUAACAUCAGCGCCCACAGUGGCUACUAAUGAUAAUGUUAGCAUUCACAGUAGCAGCUAAUGCUAGUGUUAGCAUCCACAGUAGCAGCUAAUGCUAAUGUUAGCGUCUUCUUCUCUAAAGAAGCUCUAUGAAUAAUCAGGGUUUCGUGAAAAUUUGGAAAGAUGAAUGGAUAGAAAAAGGUUUUGCUGCAUCCUGAUGAAGAAACUACAGAUUGAAACAGAUUAAAAACUAGAAAUAUUUUUGUUGUUCAGCUCAAAUAUCUGUUCAUUCAGUAAUUUAGCAGCAAAGGGGCUUUUGAAUUGAAGAUGUUGCUGAUUUUGUUGAUCUGUGUUUAAUUGCAGCUCCACUAGUUCUCCUGCUGCAGACCAGUGGAGGUUAAAGGUCACCUUCCUCAGCUCAUGAAGCAUCAGCAGCGACUCGGGGCGAUGACAUGUUGUCCAGGAUCGCGGUUCGCUGCUCCGUCCUGUAAUCUGACUUCCUGCCUCCUCUGCGUGACGCUGCGCUGGCUCCGAACGCAGCAGGACUGUUCGCCUGGGAACGUCCCGUAGCAACCUCCAACAGCUCACAGCCAGCCGGUGAAAACGUCCGGCCGGUUCUGACCCAGUUAACACAGAGAAGAUCUGCUGGGGGUUCAGCACCUUCAGGACGGCUAACGGAGGAAGCCAUCAACUGUUGCUCUGGAAACCAGGUGACCCAGAGGGGGAACACCUGAGCAGAGACUGUAGCUCCUUCACUGAUUCAGUAUUGCAUUUUCAUCUCCCGUCUCCUGACAUGAUCUCAGGUUUUCUGUGAUCAUGUCAACAUUUCCUGAUCUCUGAGACAAUUUAUUGUUAUUUUUAUUUUACAGUUUCAGCACCAAAAUUCAGACUCCUGUCCAGUCGGCCACUUCGUUUCUCCAGGAUGUUAUAUCCACUGAAGCUAGCUACUGAUCUGACUGAGGAGACCAACCAGCUCUGGAAAAUGAGAAGAACGCUACUAGCUAGCAUUAGCUUUGGGUAGGCUAUGCUAGCAUGCCUUGGUUGGUAAACCAAUGGAUCGCCUAUUUCCUCCACUGUCCAUUAGCACAGAUAGGCUAGCAUUAGCAUUGGUUAUGCUAAUGUUAGAAACAAAACACAUUUAUCAUUGAUAUGCAGAAUCUGUAACAUCAUAUAUCAGCUGCCUUGAUGACAGUUUACUGUAAUCCAACGUGACACGAAUCAUAAACAUGAUGUAUAAAACGGAGCUGAAGUUGGCUUCUGAUUGGGAAAAUAAUGUUUCACAACCUUAAGUUAUGAAAAAUUAAUUUCUACUCAUUUAUUGUGAUUAUGAUCACAACCAAUUAUCUUUAACUGUUCCAGUUUACAAACUUCAACUCUCAGACUCCUCAAACAUGAACUAUUAUAUUAUUCUACACUAAAAGCAGAAUAUUUAUAGCCUAGCUUGUGAUUGAUGAAACGUUUAUUUGAUCAGUUAAAUGUUCAAUACAGAAUGUUAUUAGCAUGUUCCACAAAAAACAAACCAGGUUAAAACAUUCUGCUUUUAGUGUUGAAUAAAGAAAAAAAGUCAGUUACGACAGGCCAGACUAGACAUGCUAGUUGUUAGCCUGUUCAAGGCUAACAUUAGCCCAGGCAGUGCUAAUGCUAGGUUAUCCAAAUCUAAAGCUAGCAUGUCUAUGCUAAUAGUCAGCAGAGUAAGUAGGCAAUCCAGCAUGCCUCCCUUGGCUUGCUAGUCAUUAGCCUAUCCAAUGCUAAUGCUAGUCAUUAGCCUCCUUCUCAUUGGCCAGCGCCGGUUGUUCAGUUUCUGCUGGCCAAUCAUUGAUCAGGUCAGUAGCAUCAGAGCGGAUAAGGACGUUGGUGACCCCAGACUGUUCCUGGAUCGUUGGCGGACGUUUGGUUCCGACUGUCUGGUUCUAGGCAGACGUGGGAGGAAGCCCGGUCCUCCGGAGGGGAACCAACCACACUGGACCGGACCGGACCAGAACCAGGACGUUUCUGUGGAGGCGGAGAUCCCAGGCAUCAGGAGUUCUCAUCACAGAAAUCAUCUCUGCUCCAGUCAGAGAACCAGAACAGGUCCUGGAGGCGGUUUGGACCCAAACCGUGCUGCAGAAGAACUUCAUCAGAACCUGAUUUUAUUUUUCAGAAAUUUGACAAAUUAAACUGAAACUGAAGCUAUUUAUGACCUUCUGAGGAUAUUUAAAGUGUGAUAUUUAUUAUUAUUCCCCUGGUUUGUGUCCAGAUUAACAACGUUUUGCUACAACCUGCUUCUGCCUUCCGAGUUUAGAAAGUUUAUAAAUGUUAUAAAAUGUUUUAUUCAGAAAAUCUCAGGCAUCGUUUCCUGAGCUGCAGCUUCACUUCGUAUUCAGCUGCAGCUUCCAGCGUCUGAACGUCCAGAUGGUUUCACCGCCGCAGGAAAUGAAGAGGCAGCCUUCAUCCUCCUCUUCCUCACUGGAUCUGUGGCUGGUUCACAGGCCUUUGACUAGGCAGGAAGUUGAAUCUCGGGAAGCUCAGAGGUGACGAUUCGUCUCGAUCCAGAAUCAGUAAAUCUGAAGCUGGAAGCUUCGGCUUUAUGAUGAAUCUUCGUUCUUCUUCCUGUUUACAUUAUUAAAAUUGGAAACCAAAGUUCACUCAGGGAUUUUAGUGAAAAUAAAAACAUUUAGCGACGGACGGUCAUGACGGGUUAAAUGAUUUCUGAGACAUCAAAACGAGAACGGCAGCGACUCCAUCCCAACAUUUAAUUUAUCGAUCUCAGCCCGUUUAUCUCAGUACAUAAAAUAAAUAAUAAUCAGGAGGAAAUGUGACGUUAAAAUCUGUUUUCACCUAAAAGAGGCAUUUUAAUGUAUUGUUUUCUGAAGGUGCCUGUUUCUACAUAUUAGUAUCACUUUAAGACAAAAAACUGAAAAAUGUUUGCUUGCUCUGUUUUUCCCUAAAAUAAACUGCUUUCUAAAGAUUUUAACUUUGUUAUUUGAAGUUUAAACCUGGACUUCUUCACAAGAAGAAAAAAGAUUACCGUAUUUUCCGGACUAUGAGACGCUACUUUUUUCCCACGUUUUGAACCAGGCGGUUUGUAGCUUUCCUGUGGAUUUUUCUUCCACCACCAGGGGGCUCUGCAGCAGGAAGUGAAUCAUUGGAAGUCAAAAUUAGAAAUCAAAGAAGAAAGCGCUGAUUUUCAUUUAGAACAAGCUCAUGCUAGCAGCAGGAACGACGGAGAAAUGUAUUCAAACUCAUUUCCUCUCACCAUGGAAACAACAGGAAGACGUUCAUAUGAUGCAGCUUUUAAGUUGAAGGUUAUCGAUGUGGCAGGACAGGAGGGGAAAAGAGCCGCUGCAGUAAACUCAGCGUGAACGAAUCCAUGGUUCGGCGUUGGAGACGGAGGGCUGCGUCUUUAACAGCAGAUUAUUAGGAUGCUGCCCUCUGCUGGGCCCUUGAGGAAAACCCAGAGCGGCGGAGAGACCUGCGGCUUGUAGUGAGGCGCUUAUAGUCUGGAAAAUACGGUACUAGGAUCUGUUGGCACUUCUAAGAUAUAUUUUACUCUGAAGUUUCUGUUUUAAUCUGAAUAGUAAUUUCAUUUAUUUACCUGGAACUUCUUUUAAAAAUGGUAAAACAACUUUUGUUCGUCGUAAGGUUCUGAUCGUCAUCAGAGAAAAGGAGCAGAAAAAAAAAGAUUGGUGUUGUGAUCUAUGUGUUUCUGUGUAUUUAUUUCAAGUUUCCUGGGUCUCUGUGUUGUCCUAUCUUCCUUUUGAUUACUCCCAGGUGUGUCUCGUUCCCUGAUUACCUCUUGUGUAUUUAGUGUCACCUGUGUCUCUGUGUCUUGGUCGGGCCCUUGUCGGUAUUUGCCGCUCUUGGCGUUUGUUCGUUCCAGGUGCCCAGUCUGUUUUCUUGUCCCUCGUUUACCGGUUGCUACCGGCGUCGAGCCCUGGCUUCAGUUCGGCUGUGCUGCCCAGCUUUGGGACCGUUUUUGGGCUGUGUUUAUUUCCUGGAUUAUUAUUAAACCACCAUAUCUCAUCUCAUCCUGAGCCUGCUGCGUUUUCCUCACCACCAUACACCACCAUUUCAUGACAAUUGGAGGAACUUUAACUACAUCGACCUCAGUGAGUUUUACUGAGCUCUGGUAAAACGCAUCCAAGAUGGCGUCGCUAAAAACGCAUCCAAGAUGGCGUCGCUCCAAAGUUUGGUUGCGUCUCAUGGAGAGACGUCCCGGGUUCAGCAGAACUUUAAUCGAAGGAGGAGAUUUGGCCCACAGCUGAUCGCCAGGCAUCGACGGUUUGAUGCGUUGCUUAGCAACAGACGGGGGAGCUCACCUUAAACGUCUCAGGUAAAGUUAAACUGCAUCUUGACGACUGGCGUCAGAUUUCAUAUUAAAAUGUUUAAAUAUUAAAUGUAAAUCUGUAUCUCUAGAUUAUUAUAUCUGAGCCUCAAAUACAAACUUUCUGCACCAA